rnacentral:siRNA from 1 species
AGAGAGUGCUUCCUGAAUAUGUGC